rnacentral:rRNA from 1 species
GUCCAGACUCCUACGGGAGGCAGCAGUGGGGAAUAUUGCACAAUGGGGGAAACCCUGAUGCAGCGACGCCGCGUGAGUGAAGAAGUAUUUCGGUAUGUAAAGCUCUAUCAGCAGGGAAGAAAAAAGACGGUACCUGACUAAGAAGCCCCGGCUAACUACGUGCCAGCAGCCGCGGUAAUACGUAGGGGGCAAGCGUUAUCCGGAUUUACUGGGUGUAAAGGGAGCGUAGACGGCAGUGCAAGUCCGGAGUGAAAGCCCGGGGCUCAACCCUGGGACUGCUCUGGAAACUGUAAAGCUGGAGUGCGGGAGGGGCAGGCGGAAUUCCUGGUGUAGCGGUGAAAUGCGUAGAUAUCAGGAGGAACACCGGCGGCGAAGGCGGCCUGCUGGACCGUAACUGACGUUGAGGCUCGAAAGCGUGGGGAGCAAACAGGAUUAGAUACCCCCGUAC